UGCACCCAUGGUGGAGAUCCCUGUCACUUUCUAUCAAGUGAAUUGUCUUGUGACUUGGUCUGUUUGUGAAUGGUGCAAUUCUCGGGAUGGCACUACUGUACGGUUGCAUUGAUCGUUGACUGAUCUACUUUAGCUCAUUCUGGCCCCUUUAAAUUGACUUAGUUACAGAUCGAAUCGGAAUUUUCUCAUCAUAAUUCAAAUUUAAUCUGUACAUAAUAAUGUCCUUUGAAAUCUGCACCUGUAAUUUUACGGGCUUCCCUCAUUUCGGGAUAAAAUGUUGUGAACAAGCUUUGAGAUCUCGUCGUUUUCAGUCCAGAAUUCUGGAACAUCUGCCUUCUUCUUAUUAGUUGGCAUGUUUCAAUUGACCAUGCAGAUUCUGGGUGUCACAGAGAAGGCUGAGAAAGAUGAAAUUGUCAAAGCAGCAAUGGAACUUAAAAAUUCAGGGAUAGAAGAUGGAUAUACAGCUGAGGUGUCUACCUGCAGACAGGCUCUGCUGGUAGAUGUGAGAGAAACUACAAGAGUAUGCAGGAAGUGUAAAAGGUUCCACCAAGAUCCUCUCUUCAUAUCCCUUGGAUCUGGCUGCCUGCUGCUCCGUGUCUUGUCUUGUGACAUCUGAUUAAUCUAAGAGGCUAUGGGCUUCACAAGCUGGCUCAUGAAACCCAAACAUUUAAUACACAUGUCAUUUAUUCAUCCACAUCUCCUCAACCCAGGUAAAUACAUAAUGAUCCAAGAAAUUCCAAAUACACGAUUCUUAUUUCCAAAUUCCAAUUCAGAGUCUUCCGUACAUGCAGCAGCUCCUGCCAAUCCAUACUUGGAAUAUUCAAGCACCAUUCUCAUUUGUUUUGAUAUUCCUGUACUCUUUGGAUUGCUCUUGCCAAUGAUUUUCUUUUGUGGUUUGGUUGCGUCGCGUCCUCAAUAGUGAGGGAAAUAAAUUCUUCUCACAGCCGCCGAUCCCAUGUUCAACAACACAUAACUGCAAGCAAACUUAUCGUCAUCAUCCAGAAGUUGUAACUCGCUUUUCAUAGCCGCUGAAUAGUCAACAAGGCUAUAAUUUGAUAUGGUUUGGCUUUAAAGAUCAGUGCUUGGAGUACCUCCAAUGCACAUGGAAUUCUACAUUGUCGUGCUUAUUUGAUGGAGAAGCACAAAAAGUUGAAGAAUUUACUAAAGCAGUUGCAAUUGUUAUGAAGUAGCUCACCUAAAGAAUGAAGAGGACUAUUAAAUUCAGGAAGACGAGGUGCCGAUGCUUUUGAUACGCUACCAUUUCAAUCUGUGGUCAACCGUCUAUCCCCACCGCACAAUGCCACUGAUCCUGAACAAUCCAGUGCCAAAUUGUGCCAUUCUCGAAACAAUUUGAUGGAAAUUCUCAUCGAAGCAAAGACGCAUGGACGUGGUGGGCAAGCAGCGACAAGCCGGUCGUAGAUAGGGGUCAACAUGGGCAUUGUCACAGGGGCAGGAUGGCUCUCCUUAAAGGCCAGUGCUGUUGAUAGUCAAUUUGCAAGGGUUUGGAACAAGGAAGUUUGUCAUGUAUAUAAACAAGAUAAUGCUAGAGUUUUCCUUCUUUGUUUAUGUGGUCCUUCAAUUUUCUAGGGUAAAUUCCCAACUAUGCUCAAGUGCUAAAGUGUAAUGGAUCUAUUGGAUAUAUCAAGGUUUAAAAAAUAUUUAAAUAUCACAGAAUAUGAAUCCAUAUGCUCGA